GCCCGGGAAGCCGGGCCGCCUCGCCCAGGGCUGACCCCCGCGGAGGGCCCGGCCCCGGCUGGUUGCAGCACCUGGGGAGCAGCCCCUGCUCUGUUAGCAGCAGAUUAAUACAUACGGCAUUGAAAAUAUGAAACCGGAAGGAAAAUAAUAAAACUGGAAUAUGCUAGACUGAUUAAUAGAUACUGACAAUGUGGUGGUCAACCAGGAUUCACAAAAUCAGCUGCUGUGCAUGACCCUUUAUAUUGACAAACACUGAAAACUGAUGGAGACAAAGAGCAGAACUUUCAAGCAUAAUAGAGAAGAACACAAUUCCACUGCAGCUGUUUUCCAUUUUAAGUAAAACAAGAUUAGACUGUCAGCUCCUGUACAGUGCGGCUAUUUCAACAGUAUUUUAAUGGAGAAUAAACUAUACAUAAUUUACAGCUUGAAAAUUUAAGAACUGUCCAGAGGAUACUGAUGGCAUGAAACCAUGAAUGGUGAAAUGGGGUUUGUGAAAGCAACAGAGCACCCAGUAGGAUUUCUAGACAUCUCUGUAUCACAGAACUGAUGUCUCUUGGAGUGUCCUGUGUAGGGCCAGGAGCUGGACUUGCUGAUCCUGACUGGUCCUUUCCAGUUCAGUAUAUUCUAUGAUUUUCUGUGUUCUCAUUAUUUUUCUCUCCAUUCUUUUACUUUCUUUUGCUAUUGCAUUUCUACCUUCGUGAAAACUAUACUUGAUAUUGCUUUAAGUCCUACAGCUAACCUAGUCCUGCACCCUUUACAAUUUCUGAUUUUCAGCUUAGUUUUCCUGUGAAAUACCUGAAUUGAUGCAUCAUCUUCAUCUAACAUGACUUUAACACUGGCAAAGGAACAUGAGUGAAUAUUCAUAGAGACACAUAUAGCAAAUGAAAAUACCAUGAUCUGCACUUGUUCCUGGAAAGCAGUUUCCUCACACCAGACAGGAGUCUGGACUGUAACAACACUCACCUCACAAGCAAGUUUUCAUGGUGAGAUGCAUGGAAGCUGUGAUAAAGAUGAACUCAAAGUAAGAACAAAGUUUUUUUGUGGCUCCUCAAAAUAGAAUCCACACUACUGUUUUCACAAAACCCUAGUUGUACGGUGGUAGCCUGAUGUGGUAGGAUAAAGCCCAUCUGGUUGGCACUUGGGUUGAACAGAAGUCACUUACUAACUGUGCCAUCACCAACGAGCUAAGCCUAGCCCACAAGAAGAGAGUAACAUAAGGUCACAUUAUUAAAAACACUGGUUCACAAUUUUGCUUAGUAGUUUCAAAACAAAUAAUUAUUAUUCGGACAAAAUUCCAAGUAAUUCAGCAGUUACUACAACUCAUUCUCAGUUCAGUAGUGGCACCUACUUAGGUAGUAGGAUGUAAUCAUAGUCUCAAAGUAACCUGUCUGAAAAUUAAAAGGACGGAACUUUUGCCAAAACUAUUGAAGCUGUACAAUUUUCUCUGCUAACACCUGCACUGAAAAUAUGGCAGUAAACUGGGCACAUAGGUAGAUUUUUUCCACAAGACUUGAUAUUACCUAUUCCAGAUAUAAAGCUGAACUGUUCCAAUGAAUUAAAGGCAGGGAUCAGCUCUUUUUGUUUUGAUAUACACCUCAAUCUUCCUGCUUCUCUAGUAAAUGAGGUGCUGCAGUAGCUCACUGUAUUCUGCACUAUUCUAAACACAUACACAAAAAAACAAUGCCCAAUAGGCACCUGGAACACUUAACACAAAGCUGUUGUAACUCAAACUCACUGAAGAGAUUUGAACUUAAGUAAGUGCUGUUUUGCAACACACACUGGUAACAUUUAAAAUCCAGAAAAAAAUACACCAUUUGAUUUCAAGAACAUCGACAAAACAAUAGGUAUCAGUACAGAA